rnacentral:rRNA from 1 species
AUUGAACGCUGGCGGCAGGCUUAACACAUGCAAGUCGAGCGAGCGGCGGACGGGUGAGUAAUGUCUGGGAACCUGCCUGAUGGAGGGGGAUAACUACUGGAAACGGUAGCUAAUACCGCAUACCAUCAGAUGUGCCCAGAUGGUAUUAGCUAGUAGGUGGGGUAAUGGCUAACCUAGGCGACGAUCCCUAGCUGGUCUGAGAGGAUGACCAGCCACACGGGGACUGAGACACGGUCCAGACGCCUACGGGAGGCAGCAGUGGGGAAUCUUGCACAAUGGGCGCAAGUCUGAUGCAGCCAUGCCGCGUGUGUGAAGAAGGCCUUCGGGUUGUAAAGCACUUUAAGUGAGGAGGCGUUACUCGCAGAAGAAGCACCGGCUAACUCCGUGCCAGCAGCCGCGGUAAUUC